UAUUUAUGUAGUUGUAUGAAGUCUUUGCCCUUCAAAAUUUCAUUACACUCAUUGGUAGUGAGUAUAUUUUUGCCGAAACAAAUUAUUCUUUCAUGUGAAAAAAUUGGACAGAGGGCAAAUUACAUAUUGUACAAAUGGCGUCUGUAUUAUUUCUAAACGCUCUUGCAUUAAUAUUGAGAAGACCACCACCGCGAAAUGUCAAACUCGUCAUCUUGUAUGAGUUCAUAUCCACAAAAUAUGAUGGAAUGGAAAUAUUGGAGAUUUGGAUAUACGUCAUGGAAUUGAGACUGCGUAGCCCUCUCCGUCCAUAAUGAACGUUUACGUAAAAUUAAACACCCUUAGACAGACUUGUGCAAUGCAACUAGCUCUUGGCCUCUAAGGCUGGAGUCCAUAUCAAUCUCUAGAUCCGAAGUUAUAAUUUACUUGGAUUUACCAUUUAUGUCCAGCGCUGUCCACAGGCCUACGACGACGGGAUUGCUCCAAAUAUGACAUCUUGGUAAUUGCUAUUAAAGGUGAUAUUUCAGUUUUACAUAUGUAGGUAGGCUAGUAGGUCUCGCAAGGUGGGGCCUUCUUUUGCUUGUAUUAUUUUUAUGGAAAUAUCUUAGCUUCGGGACAAGAAAACAGCAAUCGGUUCGGAAUUCAAAUGAACAACAUUUGUACAGAAUUUCUCCGAAAAUGAAAAUUUUCUAAAGUGACAGGAAAAUAUUCCAAACUGAAUAUUUUGAAAAGUUCCGGUUGGGUAUCUGUGAUGUUACUGGGCGAACACGGCUCCUAAUCCCGGUUGAACCAUCCCGCUCCUCCUCAGGUGGGCAUACACAUCCGCACCUACCUAGACAUUAUCAUCCGUCUCGAAGGACCAA